GCCACAUCACGUUGUAACACCGGUUCGCGUACGAUCACCAGAGUUAAGCAAUAUCGAGCCUGGUCACUACCAAGAUGGGUGAUCACUUGCGAAUUCUUAGAUUUGC